UUCGAUAGCAUCAGCUAAUCGCAGUGCAAAGCUAUAUGAUCACUUUCUGGGAGCUACUCCCUACGCUUGGUUUGAGCAUAAAUAUUUGUGUGAAAAUCCGGACGCCUUGACUAUGCCACCAACUCUUCUUGCUAGAAGAGCAUAUACACCACCCGUGGGCUAUGAUAAGGAGGAAAAGAUGAUAAAAAUUAAGUAUAUUCAUGUUAGAGGAGGUACUCCCGUAGGAAGCAGCAAUACAAUGUGAUGUUUUAAUGCAGACGACGCUGAUAACAGGGAUGCCGAUAACGACGAUGACGAGGGGUGAGUGAGACUUAUUCUUAUAUUUAUCUAGUUUUAGAUUUGUUAAGACAUAUUAUGACUUUUAAUUUUACCUAUAUGUAAUAUACUUGUGGUUUUAUUGCGUUGUGAAUGAAUAUUGUUUGAAUAUUAUGGUUGUAAUUAUAAUGUGGAA